rnacentral:rRNA from 1 species
CCUACGGGAGGCAGCAGUGGGGGAUAUUGGACAAUGGAGGAAACUCUGACCCAGCAACGCCGCGUGAAUGAUGACGGUCCUCGGAUUGUAAAGUUCUUUUCUAAGGGAAGAAGAAAGUGACGGUACGUUAGGAAUAAGCCUCGGCUAACUGCGUGCCAGCAGCCGCGGGAAUGCGUAGGAGGCAAGCGUUAUCCGGAAUGUCGGGGGGUAAAGGGUGCGGGGGUGGUUCAGCAAGGUAGUAGCGUAAUUCCGGAGCUCAACUUCGGCACUACUACUAAAACUGUUGGACUUGAGUGCAGGAGGGGCAACUGGAAUUUCUAGUGUAGCGGUGGAAUGCGUAGAUAUUAGGAAGAACACCAGUGGCGAAGGCGAGUUGCUGGACUGUAACUGACGCUGAGGCACGAAAGCGUGGGGAGCAAACAGGAUUAGAUACCCCUGUAGUC